UACAGAGGGUGCGAGCGUUAAUCGGAAUUACUGGGCGUAAAGCGUGCGCAGGCGGUUAUGUAAGACAGAUGUGAAAUGCCCGGGCUUAACCUGGGAACUGCAUUUGUGACUGCAUGGCUAGAGUUUGGCAGAGGGGGGUAGAAUUCCACGUGUAGCAGUGAAAUGCGUAGAUAUGUGGAGGAACACCGAUGGCGAAGGCAGCCCCCUGGGUCAAGACUGACGCUCAUGCACGAAAGCGUGGGGAGCAAACAGG
rnacentral:rRNA from 1 species